UCCGCAAUCCGUGAGCCCUCACCACCAAGAAGCCACGGGUGCGCCGCCGCUGGAAGAAAAAAAGAAGAGGAGGUGGCACGGGGACCAGCGGCGGCGACGGCCUGGGAGCCACCCUGGAGCAGGUGGAGAUGCGGGGCGGCGAUGAAGGCGUGUGAGAAGAUGGCCUGAGCGUCCUCGUCAAGGGCAGUUUUGGCUACCUCCUCCCGCCUCGGCUUGUUUUUCUCUCCUCCACCGUUGCUACUUCCUCGCUGCUCUCCAAUGAGUGAUUGGGUUUGUCCGCUUGGUGGAGCAGGCAGGGAGCAAGUAGGCAAAUAUGGGAGAAGGAGAAUGACCCUGACGAGAUGGCUGCCAUAGGGUCGUGACCUUCUUUAGCAUGCACAUCGGCACCGUCCCCGCGUCCGCAGCAGGGGGACAACAAUGGCUGCAAGUGACGGCACAGGAGCCCAUCUUAGUCGAGCACCCUCCCAGGAUUUUACUACUGUUAUGGCAAAAGAAGGCUAAAGCUGGGAAAGACAACAAUGUCAGGAGCCGGCCGAGGUAAAGAGACCUAAGUUGACAAGCAGGGUUGUGCAGUUAUUUUUCUCCGCUAUUCAUUGAGCAUAUCAGGAGAUUGAUAGACAGUGUGA